rnacentral:rRNA from 1 species
CCUACGGGUGGCAGCAGUGGGGGAUAUUGCACAAUGGGGGGAACCCUGAUGCAGCGACGCCGCGUGUGGGAAGACGGUCCUCUGGAUUGUAAACCACUGUCCCCAGGGACGAAAAUGACGGUACCUGAAGAAGAAGCCCCGGCUAACUACGUGCCAGCAGCCGCGGUAAUACGUAGGGGGCAAGCGUUAUCCGGAUUUACUGGGUGUAAAGGGGGCGCAGACGGCGAUGCAAGCCAGGAGUGAAAGCCCGGGGCCCAACCCCGGAACUGCUUUGGAAACUGUGCAGCUGGAGUGCAGGAGAGGUAAUCGGAAUUCCUGGUGUAGCGGUGAAAUGCGUAGAUAUAAGGAAGAACACCAGUGGCGAAGGCGGAUUACUGGACGAUAACUGACGGUGAGGCGCGAAAGCGUGGGGAGCAAACAGGAUUAGAUACCCCGGUAGUC